UUACUAGGCUGUUACCUCAAUGAGGACAGACUGUGUCAUCCUGUGUCCCUACUGCCCAGCACUGUGCCUGGAACAUAACUCUGGCAUCUCAAGAUACCAUGGCCCAGUCUGCAGAACUAUGGCCUCUGCUAACAGAAAACAGCAGACCGCAGAGGCUGCCUACCCCGGUGUUGACUUUCUUGAGGAAUCAUCUGGAGACUGCCAGGAAUUCCCCAAGUAAUGAAUUCAGGAAUGUUUUCUAGAUCAUGGAAGACACACUACCCGAUCAGAUCUGAACUACUGCUGGGUAUAUCAAUACUUCUUUUAAUCUGUCCAAAAUUCCCUUCCAGGUAGCAGAAAGUUUUUUGAAUCUUUUUCUUUGAUUCUUUUUUUGAGAGACAAGAUCUCACUCUGUCUCCCAGGCUCGAGUGCAGUGGCAUGACUGUAGCUCAUGGUAACCUCAAACUCCUGGGCUCAAGCACUCCUCCUGCCCCAGCCUCCCGAGUAGCUGGGACCACAGCUGAACACUACUACGCCUAAUUUUUGAAUAUUUUGUAGGCUGAGCAUGGUGUCUCACGCCUGUAAUUCUAGCAGCACUUUCGGGGGCUGAGGUGGGCGGAUCACCUGAGGUCAGAAGUUUGAG
rnacentral:lncRNA from 10 species